rnacentral:snRNA from 1 species
GUCUCAGCUUUGCCAACUGGCUUAGAUCAAGUGUAGUAUCUGUUCUUUUCAGUUUAAUCUCUGAAACGACACCACGUGUGUCUGACUUUGAUUAAAUUUAUUUUUGCAUUCGCUCAAAACGCUCAUGCUUGCAUGAGUGUUGAGAGCAAAGUGUCCGAGGCCUUCCACUGCCGCCUUGUGACGCGAAACAACC